rnacentral:rRNA from 1 species
GACGAACCGUCCAAACGUUAUUCGGAAUCACUGGGCUUACAGAGUUCGUAGGCGGUCUGGAAAGUUGGGUGUGAAAUCCCUCGGCUCAACCGAGGAACUGCGCUUGAAACUACCAGACUCGAGGGAGAUAGAGGAAAGCGGAACUGAUGGUGGAGCGGUGAAAUGCGUUGAUAUCAUCAGGAACCCCGGUGGCGAAGGCGGCUUUCUGGGUCUUACCUGACGCUGAGGAACGAAAGCCAGGGGAGCGAACGGG